AUUGAACUCAGAGCCUUGCACUUGCAAGGCAGGUGCAGAGCCACUGAGCUAAAUCCCUGGCCUUACAUGUUCAUUUUAGAACAAUCUCAUUGCCAUAGCAUAGAGUAAGGAUGUCAGCAGGGUGAGGCUGGAAGUAGCUGAGAGAUCAGAGCAAUUGUUCAGGUGAGAGAUGAUGAGAAAUGAACUCUUAUUGUGGCAAAAGGAAUGGAGAGAAAAAUCAAAAUCAUCUUGCACAAAUGUGGUGAAGUGAUUUCAGGAGGGAUGGUGGUGUAGAAUGAAAUAGAUAUCAGGUGGCAUGUUUCUAAGCCUUUGACAUCACUCUUCCCACAGCCUAUUCUGAGCAGUUGUGGCUUCACAAAGUGAAAUGGAAUUUUCUGGAGAAAAUAAAUUUUAAAAAGCUGAAUGCACUUAUUUUGGAGGUUACCCAGUCCUUUGGAGCAAGAGGCUUUUUCUACUACCAGUCUUAUAUUCUUUCUAGAAGAUUAAAAAAAAUAAUUAAAAGAGGACUUGAGUGCUUAGAUUCUCUUGAAGGGAAAAGUGUUGGUGUCCAUUGUAAAUAUAAGUACUGGGGAUCGAACUCAGGACCUUGCACUUGUGAGGAAGGUGCCGGAACCACUCAGCUAAAUCCUCGGCUACAUCCAUCAAUCUUAAUAAAUGAUGAAUGUGACAAUUAUAAAAGGAAUGGGGGAUAGAAUCUUGUGAAAACUUUUAUCCGAGAACUUGAGAUGCAGAUUAUACUCACAAGCAAUUUGAGGACAGGAACUGUAACUUUUAUGAUCUUGUGCCCAAAACAUGGUGAUGUCUGAAUCCAGAUAACUCACCAGCUGCUGCAGUUGGGUGUAUCCACUGUUCCAGUCCACUGGUACAUUUCUCCUUGGAGUCCUCUGGGGUCACCAGUAGUCAUCAUGCAUCUGUAAGUUAACCCCCCCAUUUCCACACCAUGAGUCCAAGCUCUGUGAGAGAGUGCUGCCUGCUACCUACCUCCUCUUCAUUGCAGUCUCUCUCUUUACUCUCUCUGUGCACGUCAAUUUUCACACCAGAUCCUUUCCGGGUCCUGGGGACCCACUUUCCUCCUUCUUCUCCUCCUUGCAUCAUUAUAUUCCAGUGUCUGUUCAUUAAAUCUUGGAGAGGCUAUUCAC
rnacentral:lncRNA from 1 species